UUUCCGGUUGAUCCCGCCGGAGGCCACUGCUAUCGGGGUUCGAUUAAGCCAUGCGAGUCGAGAGGGUUCAGACCCUCGGCGGACUGCUCAGUAACACGUGGAUAACCUGCCCUAAGGUGGAGGAUAACCCCGGGAAACUGGGGAUAAUACUCCAUAGAUUAGAGAUACUGGAAUGUUCUUUGGUCAAAAGUUCCGGCGCCUUAGGAUGGAUCUGCGGUCGAUUAGGUUGUUGUUGGGGUAACGGCCCAACAAGCCUGUAAUCGAUACGGGUUGUGGGAGCAAUAGCCCGGAGAUGGAAUCUGAGACAAGAUUCCAGGCCCUACGGGGCGCAGCAGGCGCGAAAACUUUACAAUGCAGGAAACUGUGAUAAGGGAACCCCGAGUGCCCGUAUACGCGGGCUGUCCAGGUGUUUAAAAGUCAUCUGAAGAAAGGGCCGGGCAAGACCGGUGCCAGCCGCCGCGGUAAUACCGGCGGCUCGAGUGGUGGCCACUAUUAUUGGGCUUAAAGCGUCCGUAGCUGGACUGAUAAGUCUCUUGGGAAAUCCGCCGGCUCAACCGGCGGGCGUCUAAGGGAUACUGUUGGUCUAGGGACCGGGAGAGGUGAGAGGUACUCCGGGGGUAGGAGUGAAAUCCUGUAAUCCCCGGGGGACCACCGAUGGCGAAGGCAUCUCACCAGAACGGCUCCGACAGUGAGGGACGAAAGCUGGGGGAGCAAACCGGAUUAGAUACCCGGGUAGUCCCAGCCGUAAACUAUGCGCGUUAGGUGUGCUGGUGACCACGUGUCACCGGGGUGCCGAAA
rnacentral:rRNA from 1 species